rnacentral:rRNA from 1 species
GACGAACGCUGGCGGCGUGCUUAACACAUGCAAGUCGAACGGAAAGGCCCUGCUUGUAGGGUAUUCGAGUGGCGAACGGGUGUGUAACACGUGGGUGAUCUGCCCUGUACUUUGGGAUAAGCCUGGGAAACUGGGUCUAAUACCGGAUAGGAGCCAUUUUUAGUCUGAUGGUUGGAAGGUUUUUUCGGUGUAGGAUGAGUUCGCGGCCUAUCAGCUUGCUGGUGGGGUAAUGGCCUACCAAGGCGGCGACGGGUAGCCGGCCUGGGAGGGUGGACGGCCACAUUUGGGCUGGAGUUCGGCCCAGACUCCUACGGGAGGCAACAGUGGGGAAUAUUGCACCAAGGGCGCAAGCCUGAUUCAGCGACGCCGCGUGGGGGAUGACGACCUUCGGGUUGUAAACUCCUUUCGCUAGGGACGAAGCUUUUUGUGACGGUACCUAGAUAAGAAGCACCGGCUAACUACGUG